GCCUCCGUGGCGCAAUCGGCUAGCGCGUUCGGCUGUUAACCGAAAGGUUGGUGGUUCGAGCCCACCCAGGGGCG
rnacentral:tRNA from 1 species